UUUCCGUAGGUGAACCUGCGGAAGGAUCAUUAAAGAAUUUGCCCCGUCCUCUCGAGGAUGGGUCCUCUUCUAAACCGUGUAUACAUACCUUUGUUGCUUUGGCGGGCCGCCAUCUCGGCGUUGGCUUCGGCUGACUGUGCCCGCCAGAGAACCCCAACUCUUCUGUUUAGUAUUGUCUGAGUACUAUAUAAUAGUUAAAACUUUCAACAACGGAUCUCUUGGUUCUG
rnacentral:misc_RNA from 1 species